rnacentral:lncRNA from 1 species
AAUUUUCCCUGAAUAUAGACUCAUAUAUCUUCCAUCCAUAAAAUUUUCAGAAUUUUAGGUUUGGCCAAUCAAUACCAGAUUUUUCUUAAAGUUUCCCCUGUUUCACUGUUUGACUAAUCUGACCACUCUUCACUACGAAUCAAAUUUCUCAUAGUACAGAAUUCAAAAUAUGUUCUAUUUGAUUUCAUUUGAAACUAGACUCAUUAAGGAAUCUAAGCAUAUAAAUUUUAUCUUAUAACCAUUUUUGUACAAAUUAUAAUGAUUUUCUAAAAACAGAACAGGGG